GAUGAACGCUGGCGGCGUGCCUAAUACAUGCAAGUCGAGCGAACAGACGAGGAGCUUGCUCCUCUGACGUUAGCGGCGGACGGGUGAGUAACACGUGGGUAACCUACCUAUAAGACUGGGAUAACUUCGGGAAACCGGAGCUAAUACCGGAUAAUAUAUUGAACCGCAUGGUUCAAUAGUGAAAGACGGUUUUGCUGUCACUUAUAGAUGGAUCCGCGCCGCAUUAGCUAGUUGGUAAGGUAACGGCUUACCAAGGCGACGAUGCGUAGCCGACCUGAGAGGGUGAUCGGCCACACUGGAACUGAGACACGGUCCAGACUCCUACGGGAGGCAGCAGUAGGGAAUCUUCCGCAAUGGGCGAAAGCCUGACGGAGCAACGCCGCGUGAGUGAUGAAGGUCUUCGGAUCGUAAAACUCUGUUAUUAGGGAAGAACAAAUGUGUAAGUAACUAUGCACGUCUUGACGGUACCUAAUCAGAAAGCCACGGCUAACUACGU
rnacentral:rRNA from 1 species